rnacentral:sRNA from 1 species
UUUUUUUUCCAAUUUUUGGUUAAACAGUUUCCACAAAUUCAUAAUUUUUUUAACAGUAAGAUGUGUAUUGUCUCGUUUAUGAAGAAUACCAUAGUUAAAAGGACCAAUCUAAUCAUACAACAACUUUUAGAUAUUUUUGGUAAAUAGGGUGUGAAUAGUUACGGCAGUUGGGGCGGACACAAUCGUCAAUGGAUCAGACCACUUUUUAUUUACCAUUCAUCAAUUAUAGUCCGCAGUGGUCGGGACAAAAAAAAAUAGAAGAAAACCGCAGCGGAUCAUUUGCGGACCGUUUUUACAUACAAAUAAACUUGGUUCGCAGAGGUUUAUUAUCUGCCCCAAAAAUGAGAAGGAGUAAACCGCAGACAAAUUAGACCGCUUUGUCAACUGACUCAAUUUAUAACGAACAAUUUGGUGUAGUCUUUGUGACUAGUGAGUUGAAAUAGGAGUAUAUAAAGAGU